rnacentral:rRNA from 1 species
UACAUAUUCGUUAAGGGCAUAUGGUGGAUGCCUCGACAUUAAAAGACGAUGAAGGACGUAGCAACCUGCGAAAAGCUUCGGUGAGGUGGUAAGCAACCUUUGACCCGGAGAUAUCCGAAUGGGGAAACCCGAUCUAAUGGAAGAUUAGAUCAUCAUUACCUGAAUACAUAGGGUGGUGAAGACAACUCGGCGAAUUGAAACAUCUUAGUAGCCGAAGGAAAAGAAAGAGAAUACGCAAUUUACAUUGUGUAAUUAUCUUUUUCGAUAAUUACAUAAUUGUAGGUUGUUCCAUUCCCUAAGUAGUGGCGAGCGAAAGGGGAAUAGCCCAAAUUCUGUAGACUAUCUCUAAUUUAGUUAGAUUAAUUCUCCGGAGUUAAUCUAACUUAUUAGAAUUUUUAAGGAUACAAGUCCGUAAUGUGUACAGAACGUUGUAAGAUAGUUACGUUUGAACUCUUGUAGGUUCUAGGUAGAGAAAAAAGUUUAACUUUCCUAGUUGAAUGUUUCUGGAAAGAAGCAACCAUAGAAGGUGAUAGUCCUGUAAGCGAAAGGAGUUAUAGCUCUACGGUAAUUAUUCUUGAGUACCACGGGUGUCGUGAAACCCUGUGGGAAUCCGGCCAGACUAUUGGCUAAGGCUAAAUACUUUUAAUGAUCGAUAGUGUACAAGUACCGUGAGGGAAAGGUGAAAAGCAUCCCUGUAAGGGAGAUGAAAUAGUAUCUGAAACCAUAUGCUUACAAGGAGUCGGAGCCCGCAAGGGUGACGGCGUUCCUAUUGAAGAAUGAGCCAACGAGUUCAUUUUUGCGGCAAGCCUAAGUUCUUUUCAGGACGGAGGCGUAGUGAAAGCGAGGGUUAAUAGCCCGACUUAGUCGUAGGAAUGAGACCCGAAGCCAAGUGACCUAGCCAUGGCCAGGGCGAACCAAGUGUAAUAACUUGGGGAGGCCCGAACCCUUGAGUCGUGCAAAACUCUGGGAUGAGCUGUGGUUAGAGGUGAAAUGCUAAUCGAACUUGGCAAUAGCUGGUUCUCCUCGAAAUAGCUUUAGGGCUAGCCUUAUCGUUGCGCCCGGGGGUAGAGCACUGAAUGGGUGUGGAUGGAUUUAUCCUACUUCACCCAACCAAACUCCGAAUACCGGGUUAGCUUUAAUCGAUAGGAGUUAGACUAUGGGGGCUAAGCUCCAUUAGUCGAAAGGGAAACAGCCCAGACCAUCAUCUAAGGUCCCUAAAUUUAAGCUAAGUGUUAAAGGUGGUGACAUGACUCAAACAACCAGGAGGUUGGCUUAGAAGCAGCCAUCCUUUAAAGAAAGCGUAAUAGCUCACUGGUCCAGUUGUCUUGCGCCGAAAAUUUACCGGGGCUAAAGCUUAAUACCGAAGAUAUGGAUUUCUUCAGCUUUCGAGCUGGAGGAGUGGUAGAGGAGUAUUCUUUGUUCACCGAAGCCGGACUCGCGAGAGCUGGUGGAGAGCAAAGAAGUAAGAAUGUUGGCAUGAGUAGCAAAAAGGCGGGUGAGAACCCCGCCCACCGUAAGCCUAAGGUUUCCUGGGCAACGCAAAUCGACCCAGGGUUAGUCGGUCCUAAGGCGAGGCCGAAAGGCGUAGUCGAUGGAUGAGCUGGUUAAUAUUCCAGCACUACUUAUGGUUUUCGAUGGGGUGACGCAUUUGUAGAGGUAGAGCGUUCUAUGGUAUGGACGUUGCUUGCCUUAAGUGUGAUAGUAGGCAAAUCCGCUAUCAUCAACACAAAGGUCGGCAGAAGGUUGAAAGCUUGCUGAUACCAAUUCUACCAAAGUGAGUGCCAAGAAAAACCUCUAGAGUUAAGCCAUAAGUAACCGUACCGUAAACCGACACAGGUAGGCGGGCAUAAGUGUGCCAAGGUGUACGAGAGAACUUUCGUUUAGGAACUCGGCAAAAUAGCGUCCGUACGUUCGCAAUAAGGGCUGCCUGACCGUGCCUCAUUGCAUUCGGCACGGAAUGAUCAAUGAUCAAUAACCAAUGAUCAAACAAUUAUUAAUGAUCAAUUUCUAAUUAUCAAAACGUUUUGUAAUUUGAUUAUUAAAAUUUGAAAUUUGUUUGGAAAUUAAAUAUUGAAAUUUGAGAUUUCCGCAACCGAGCGCAGCGAGGUGCGGUAAGGCCGCAGCUAAAGAUCUCAAGCGACUGUUUACCAAAAACAUAGGUCCCUGCUAAACCGUAAGGUGAUGUAUAGGGGCUGAUGCCUGGCCAGUGUCCGAACGUUAAAGAAGGGGGUGAUAUCAGUUUACUGAUUGAGCUUUCGACUGAAGCGCGGAUGAACGCCGGCGAUAACUAUAAUCGUCCUAAGGUAGCGAAAUUCCUUGUCGGGUGAGUUCCGACCUGCACGAAUGGCAUAACGGCUUGAGAACUGUCUAAACGAAGGACUCGGC